rnacentral:rRNA from 1 species
AUUGAACGCUGGCGGAAUGCUUUACACAUGCAAGUCGAACGGUAGAGGGGGCAACCCCUCGAGAGUGGCGAACGGGUGAGUAAUAUAUCGGAACGUGCCCAGUCGUGGGGGAUAACGUAGCGAAAGUUACGCUAAUACCGCAUACGAUCUAAGGAUGAAAGCGGGGGAUCGCAAGACCUCGCGCGAUUGGAGCGGCCGAUAUCAGAUUAGGUAGUUGGUGGGGUAAAGGCUCACCAAGCCAACGAUCUGUAGCUGGUCUGAGAGGACGACCAGCCACACGGGAACGGAGACACGGUCCAGACGCCUACGGGAGGCAGGGGUGGGGUAUUUUGGACAAUGGACGAAAGUCUGAUCCGGCCAUUCCGGGUGAAGGAUGAAGGCCCUCGGGUUGUAAACUGCUUUUGUACGGAACGAAAAGGUCUCUCUUAAUACGGGGGGCUCAUGACGGUACCGUAAGAAUAAGCACCGGCUAACUACGUGCCAGCCGCCGCGGUAA